UUAAUUUCAUUAAAAACCCUUUAAACCAACAUAAAAAAUUAAAAAAUAAUUAAAAAAUCAACUACUACAUGCCAAGUCAGCCUUGGACCCACCCAACCCCGUCCAAAAUAUACGAAAACGACUUGGUCCAUAAUUACCAACUUUCUUUUUUAUCUUUUCCUUAUUUUUUGUCUCUGCCGGUAUCGCCUUCUCCUCUACUUAACUUUUUUUUUUCGCCGCCGUAAGUUUUACGGUUUAUAAAGUCUUUUAAUGGUUGAUAUUUUUAAGAUGGUAAAAAGAUAAAAGAAG
rnacentral:lncRNA from 1 species